GAUGAACGCUGGCGGCGUGCCUAAUACAUGCAAGUCGAGCGAACAGAUGAGGAGCUUGCUCCUCUGACGUUAGCGGCGGACGGGUGAGUAACACGUGGAUAACCUACCUAUAAGACUGGGAUAACUUCGGGAAACCGGAGCUAAUACCGGAUAAUAUAUUGAACCGCAUGGUUCAAUAGUGAAAGACGGUUUUGCUGUCACUUAUAGAUGGAUCCGCGCCGCAUUAGCUAGUUGGUAAGGUAACGGCUUACCAAGGCAACGAUGCGUAGCCGGCCUGAGAGGGUGAUCGGCCACACUGGAACUGAGACACGGUCCAGACUCCUACGGGAGGCAGCAGUAGGGUAUCUGCCGCAAUGGGCGAAAGCCUGACGGAGCAACGCCGCGUGAGUGAUGAAGGUCUUCGGAUCGUAAAACUCUGUUAUUAGGGAAGAACAAAUGUGUAAGUAGCUAUGCACGUCUUGACGGUACCUAAUCAGAAAGCCACGGCUAACUACGUG
rnacentral:rRNA from 1 species